AUUCCAAGGGCCAGGUUUUCUUGGAUCAAAGUCCAACUGCAGGAAGGAACAUGUCUAUACCAAAAGGCAAGCAAAUGGUUGGAAAUAAAAGUGGUUCUGAGGAUGGGGCCUGUAGCUGAUGGUACGUGGACCAUCUUGUCACCGCACCAAGCCUCCAUCUCCACAGCCUACACCGUCCUUGCCAAAUGGCCAAGAUCUCCAUACCCCAGGUCCUAGCAACUCUGAUCACACCUCACCGACUUCAGCAAAGUCCUGUGAUUCCUCCACACCUAUGAUGAACCUACCAGCUUCACACCCAUGAUGAGAUCUGAAAGUCAGGCUUCUUAUCAAUCAGGUGCUGGGCAGAAAUGGAAGUUGAUGAUGAUGCACCUGCCCAUCUUUCUCCAAGUUCCUCUGACAGCUGUCCCAGAAGAGCAUCAAAACACGGAUGACCUGGGAGUCUACACCCUAGGCGACCUUGAGUUCAGUGAACUGUUGGCUAAGGAGAGUUCCUUAGGACACCUGGCUGCCUGUUUCAGUAAAGGGACAGGGGAUGGAAAGUUUUGGAGGUGGAGCAUCUUUUCCAUAUCUACUGCUACUUUGAGUGUCUUCUUAUUUUCAGGCAAUGACCCUGGCAGCUCAUACAUACAGGCUAGCAUGACAUAUGCCAUGUUUUUUUGGGUGACUCUGGUUGGUGACAUGAACUGCUUCUGCCAAGCGAUCAAGAGGAGAAACUGUUGAAAACCCUUGCUGUGUGUGAGAUUUGGUCUGCUUUUCUCUGGAAUCUUGGAAGCCCUGUCUGUGUGGAAACACAUCCCAGGAAGCAGAGACAACUGGGUGUAGCAAGAAUGUAAAUUAGAGCAAGAUGCAUCAAAGAAAACAUAUCUUCAGACUCGUGUGGGUUUCUUUUUAAUUGGAAUUUAUAAUUGCACCUAAUUAUAGGACAUAUUUUACAUGUUCCCUUUGAGAGGCUGAGAGGGGGUGGAGCCCUGUCCACUCCAGUCACAGGAGC
rnacentral:lncRNA from 1 species